AUGCUACGCUUGGAAGUGUUAUACUUUAUUUCACAAAAUUCAUUUUAUUUAAUUAAAUAAAACCCCGAAAUAUAGCAAUAGAAAAAAAGAAAAAGAAAAAAAAAGAAAGUAAAAUUUAGCGAAUAAAAUCGAAAACUAUCCGAACAAACGGUGAAAUUUAAGCCUUUCAAUUUUCUUCUACUUUUUCGUCCGUCUCAUACCCCGGCGGAGGAAUUCCCAUUCCGUCGCAAUAUUCACCCACCGCACCGCUAAUCUCCGGCGAGAACGCUCCGCCAGACGAAAAAAUCACGGCGGCGCAUUUCUCCGGUAAUCCAUAUACAAUCACCCUACAACAAUUAUAACUCACCUCGACCACAUUACUCUUCAUGGCCAUGUCGAUCUCGUCAUGGCAUCCUUCCACCAGGUUGAUCGCGUCCCAACAAGCCACCGCCGACCAAUUGGCUGAAUAAAUCGGCUCCGAGAUCUUUUUAACAGCGAAAGCCGAUUGAAUCGUCGAUGAAAUUGCUAGGGCACAGAGGAAGAAUCCGAAAAAAUGAACCGAUUUCGACAUCAUGAGAUUCGGAACAGAUUGAAAAAUCGAUCCAACCGAUCUAAACCAUCAAGUUGGGCAGACAGUAAUUAGUGAAGUUUGGUCGGAGUCGGUUUGGCAUUAUUUGAACCGACUUCCAUGUCGUUCAGCGAUGAUGGCCGGUCGGGUAUCAACCCAUUGUGAUCCAACUGAAAAGAUAGGUGAAGACCAAUUGUCUCAGUCUAAGAUGGAUAUUUAUUUGUUGGAAGCCAAUGUUAAAAGUGAAUGUGAUUUUAACAUACCUCAAUAGUGGAAGAUAAACCGUCAUUAUUUA